UUUCCGUAGGUGAACCUGCGGAAGGAUCAUUAUUGUAUAACCGAGGUGCGAGGGCUGUCGCUGACCCGAAAGGUCGUGCACGCCCGAGUGCCCUCACACACAUCCAUCUCACCCCUAUGUGCACCACCGCGUGGGUCCCCCUUUGGCUUGUUCGGAGGGGGGCUUACGUUUUCACACAAACUUUGUAUGCAGUGUAGAAUGUAUUUUUUGUUUUUGCGAUCACGCAAUCAAUACAACUUUCAACAACGGAUCUCUUGGUUCUA
rnacentral:misc_RNA from 1 species